GACACGGCCCAAACUCCUACGGGAGGCUGCAGUAGGGAAUCUUCCACAAUGGGCGAAAGCCUGAUGGAGCAACGCCGCGUGUGUGAUGAAGGCUUUCGGGUCGUAAAGCACUGUUGUAUGGGAAGAACAGCUAGAAUAGGAAAUGAUUUUAGUUUGACGGUACCAUACCAGAAAGGGACGGCUAAAUACGUGCCAGCAGCCGCGGUAAUACGUAUGUCCCGAGCGUUAUCCGGAUUUAUUGGGCGUAAAGCGAGCGCAGACGGUUUAUUAAGUCUGAUGUGAAAGCCCGGAGCUCAACUCCGGAAUGGCAUUGGAAACUGGUUAACUUGAGUGCAGUAGAGGUAAGUGGAACUCCAUGUGUAGCGGUGGAAUGCGUAGAUAUAUGGAAGAACACCAGUGGCGAAGGCGGCUUACUGGACUGCAACUGACGUUGAGGCUCGAAAGUGUGGGGUAGCAAACAGGAUUAGAUACCCUGGUAGUCCACACCGUAAACGAUGAACACUAGGUGUUAGGAGGUUUCCGCCUCUUAGUGCCGAAGCUAACGCAUUAAGUGUUCCGCCUGGGGAGUACGACC
rnacentral:rRNA from 1 species